rnacentral:rRNA from 1 species
UACGGAGGGGGCGAGCGUUAUUCGGAAUUAUUGGGCGUAAAGGGCGCGUAGGCGGCUGCACAAGUCAAAGGUGAAAUCCCUCGGCUCAACUGAGGAACUGCCUUUGAAACUGUGCGGCUUGAGUCCGGGAGGGGGUAGCGGGAUUCCCAGUGUAGCGGUGAAAUGCGCAGAUAUCAGGAGGAACACCAGUGGCGAAGGCGGUGCUCUGGGCCGGAACUGACGCUGAGGAGCGAAAGCGUGGGGAGCAAACAGG